AAGCGGCGGACGGGUGAGUAACGCGUGGGUAACCUACCCUGUACACACGGAUAACAUACCGAAAGGUAUGCUAAUACGGGAUAAUAUAUUUGAGAGGCAUCUCUUAAAUACCAAAGGUGAGCCAGUACAGGAUGGACCCGCGUCUGAUUAGCUAGUUGGUAAGGUAACGGCUUACCAAGGCGACGAUCAGUAGCCGACCUGAGAGGGUGAUCGGCCACAUUGGAACUGAGACACGGUCCAA
rnacentral:rRNA from 1 species